AAGUCGUAACAAGGUUUCCGUAGGUGAACCUGCGGAAGGAUCAUUAACAAAUUCUACAUUUACCACCUGUGCACGGCCCUACGGGGAGUUGGGCGGCGCCGACACAUCAAGCAUGCGUUGGGAUCGCCCGACACAUCAACCAUGAACGUCUAUUUUAAAAUUUAUCGAAACAACUUUUAACAAUGGAUCUCUUGGCUCUU
rnacentral:misc_RNA from 1 species